UACGUAGGGUCCGAGCGUUGUCCGGAAUUAUUGGGCGUAAAGAGCUCGUAGGCGGUUUGUCGCGUCGGAAGUGAAACCUACAGCUUAACUGUGGGCUUGCUUUCGAUACGGGCAGACUUGAGGCAUGCAGGGGAGAACGGAAUUCCUGGUGUGAGCGGUGAAAUUCGUAGAUAUUGGGAAGAACACCGGUGGCGAAGGCGGCGACCUGGUCCGUGACCUGACGCUGAGGCGCGAAAGCGUGGGGAGCAAACAGG
rnacentral:rRNA from 1 species